GCCUCGUGAGCACCUGCAUCCGAUCCGGCAGGCGAGCCAACGUCUGCCACCGGCAGGCCCCGGGGGCGCCCCAGGGUGGCCCCAGCACUCGCCAGCUGCAGGUAGCCCCCCACCCCGGGGAGUCUGCGGUGUCUCUCUCUCUCACUGGCAGGGGGACCGUCCUGACUUGCAUUUUUGUGCCUCGGAAGUGGAAGGAAUAUGCUGACGUUUUCCGCGGCGUAUCUGCCUGGCCGCAGGGCAGGAGCGUGGGCCAUUGUCCGGGAGUCAGCACCGGCUCACACACACGGACCUUCCUGCCGUCGGGGCGCUCCUGCCACAGCCGCAGCCAGCUCAGCGCACAGAGAGGCUGUCCUUCCGCUGGAGCGUGUCCCCCGUGAAGUGUGGUGCGGCGACCUUCCAACCAGGAUGUUGGUGGCAAGCGGGACCUUGGAGUUGCCAUCUACAAAACAAACUGCUGUUUGUUGGUAACGGAGAGCUGCGGCCCCACAGCUCCCUGAGGUGGCUCCAAGGUUGUCCCUCCGCCAAAAAGAGGCUCCCUGUAGAUGUAGCUGAAUGAGCACCGCCCUGCACCCCCGGGGCGUGCGCUGUGUAAACCACUUCCGUGUUUUUACGGAACUGCUCACGUCACUGCCUUCCUUAUUGAAGUGCGUCUCUGUCAUCCAGCCAACAUAUUAUGGGUGUUUCAGGUUCCAAGAUUAUUUUACAUGUUCAGUCAUUGGGGCAGUUUCGAUCAAUGUCCAAUGGCAAGCUAGUAACUGUCUCAGCUUGUAUCUGGAAAUUUUCUGGUCCAAAAUCCCAGUGGCCACCACUGGGUGGCAUUCAUGUACUUUUGCCGAAAGCCCCAGCCUGGGCUCCUCUCUGAGAGCCUUCCUUCUUUUCCAAGCGCCACACAAGUGCUUUUGUGCAGAGAACUUGUCGUGCCAGUUUCCAAUAUGUCGUUAAUUAAAGUGACAAUCUCCUUCGUCCCCCGAUGUGCAACACUGUUUCAAAUUAACAAACCACAUGGGCUCAAGCAAUUCCAGAGUUUCCAUUAACAUAUCAGUUACUUGGAUAUCUUUUUCAAUACUAGGUAGAACCUCUUCACAUAAAGUCCAUUCAAAUCUUCCCAUUUUCCUCUAAAUGGUCACCUUAACCCUAUCACCUGUCAACCAUGGCGUCCUCAUGUCCUUCCCAGUGUAACUGGAGUCCCCUCAGGACCUCACCACCAGACUUGGGAAUCACAGUGCAGUGGGUCCCACGUCAAGGGGUCUCCCAUACCUGGUUAUUUUACCCACACAUGUGCAGAUGGCCUUGGGUCCCUAGCUGGAGGUUGGGUCAAAAGACCCUGACUCAAGAAUCCUGAUCACAAUCGAUUUCUGGACCAUCACCUCCAGUGAUCCAAGUUCAGAUUUCUCAUCAUAUCUGCCUUCAGGCAUUCUCAGUUCCUUCAAACUAUGGUAAACAGAGUGAUAGGUUUGGCGGGCUCGGGGAAAGGAACACCCAGAUGGCCGAGGGACCACCAUUUUGGAACUUUCCGCCCGCUGCCAGCUUCCAGGAAACACGUCAUCUGCCCUAGCCUCAUCGCUUCGCCUUAUAAGGAGGUCUUCUGCCCCUGGACACACCCCCGGAACUAGUGCCCUGUAUAAGGCCCCGCUCUUGGUCCCCCUGGCACGACUUCCUGGCCCUUCCUGUCCGGACCAGGGAACCUCGCCGGAGAGCUCUUUAAUAAAGGGUGCUCGGAUCUCUUUU